GUUCUACCUUGACGAAUUGUAGUUUAAAGAAGUGUUUUCUGUUAGAGGAGUAGCAAAAGUUCCUUGGAAUGGGACAUCAUAGAGGGUGAGAAUCCCGUAUUUGGUUAUUCUUUCUAGCUUUGUGAUACACUUUCAAAGAGUCGGAUUGUUUGGGAAUGCAGUCCAAAAUGGGUGGUAAAUUUCAUCUAAAGCUAAAUAUUGGCGAGAGACCGAUAGCGCACAAGUACCGUGAGGGAAAGAUGAAAAGAACUUUGAAAAGAGAGUUAAACAGUACGUGAAAUUGUCAAAAGGGAAGCGUUUGACACCAGUGUUGUUUUUCCGAAAAUCAAUUAAGAAGGGCUUGAUUUUGUGUUGUAUUGACCUUAUCAGCUUUCUUCACUCUUUUUCGAGUCUUUCUU
rnacentral:rRNA from 1 species